UUAAAUUUUUCAAAUGUGGAUGAAAACAGGAAUGAUCCAAUCCCCCAUUGAUCGACUCCACAAUAACCAUAAUAAGCGACAUUCCCAUGCAACAGGCCGCGCGUGUCACGCAUUAUCAUCAGUCUCGGUUAGCUUGGUAAGGCGUUGCAGAUCGAAUAAUAAAAUAAUAAUAAUAAUAAUAAAAAAUUAAAAAUCAUAUAGGCGUAUAGACAACAGAAUCGCGUGUAAAGCGCGUUGCGAUGGUUCGAUACGAGUCGGUCAGAAAUCAGGAUAGAGAAAAUAGAGCUGGCUAAGAAAAAGGCGUCGAAGACUAUGAAAAUAAAAAGUUACAAGCUGUUAGUGACCCACUAUCUCUCGUUCGUGUUAUAGUUUCACGUAUCAGCCUUGUAGCUAGUAAUAUUAGAUCA